CUUUCCGCCCGGGCUUAGGAGCGGACGAGAGGCGCCUCGCGCUCUCAUUCCUCCGCCUCCCUCCCUUUCUCGCCUCUCCUCCGCCCCCCACCUCUCCCUCCGCACACACGCCGCACGCUCCACACCCCGCCGUGGCCGGCUCGCCGCCCUCCCUUUCCUCUUCCGUCCGGCCUCCCCGCCCUCGGUCCACCCCCUCCGCGCGCUCGCCCACCCCGCCCAGCCCGGAUCUCUGUCAGCGGCCGGAAGGGAAACGCGAAGCCAGCGCGGCCGCGGGGGGAGUCCGGGUUGGAGUGCAAUGACGUGAUCUCGGCUCACCGCAACCUUUGCCUCGUGGGUUCAAGCAAUUCUCUUGCCUCAGCCUCUCAAGUAGCUGCGAAUACAGCUGUGCGCCACCACGCCUGGCUAAUUUUUGUAUUAUUAGUAGAGACGGGGGUUUCACCAUGUUGGCCGUGCUAGUCUCAAACUCCCGACAUCAGGUGACCCACCCACCUUGGCCUCCCAAAGUGCUGGGAUUACAGGCAUGAGCAACUGCGCCCAGCCUAGACGGAGUCUCGCUCUGUCACCCAAGCUGGAAUGCCGUGGCGCAAUCUUAGUUCACUGCAACCUCUGCCUCCUCGGUCCAAGCCAUUCUCCUGCCUCAGCCUCCCGAAUAGGUGGGAUUGCAAUCACAUGCCACCAUGCCCAGUAUUUUUAUUGUAUCUUUUAUUUUUUUAUGGUAUUUUUAGUACAGACAGUUUCACCAUGGUGGCCAGGCUGUUCUCGAACUCCUGACCUCAUAAUCUCCCCGCCUCGACCUCCCAAAGUGCUGGGAUUAUAGGCGUGAGGCCCUGUGCCCAGCUGGCACUUAACAUUUAAAUCGUAUUAAAUUCUUACCAGCAGUAUGUGAAGUGUCUGUCACAACAGAAAAGAUAUGCUGGAGAAUAUCACAAAAAUAAGUUUGAUAAAAACUCUGAGCUGCAGCUUCUUCUUGUGCAACAUUUUGUAAGAGUGUAAAAAGUAUCUGUAAGCCUAAAAGACAUAGAAUACCAAUGGAAAGUUACUACAGACUGACAGCACUCAUGAUAGUAUUUAGCUCUUAUCAAAGUAUUCUGAAUCUAACCCUGUUCUCCCUUUUUUUUGGGAUGAUGACUAAUAAUUACUUGCAUAAGGUUUCUUAAAUUAAUAAUGGAAUACAACUAUAUCCAAUGCUGGCUUACUUAUAAAUUAUAAUAAGUUGUGUGAGAGCUAAACUGUGAAGAUGUAAAGGCAUAAAGAUCAUAUAAUGGACUUUGGGGACUUGUGGGGAAGGGCAGGAGUGGGUGAGGGAUAAGACUACACAUAAGGUGGAGUUCAUACACAUGAGGGAUAAGACUACACAUAAAGUAGAGUUCAUACUGCUCACAUGACAGGUGCACCAAAAUCUCAGAAAUCACCACUGAAGAACUUAUUCAUGUAACCAAAAACCACCUGUUCCCCAAAAACUAUUGAAAUAAAAAAAGAACCUCAUGAAUAUUUUUUAAAAGCCUAUGGGAAAAAAAUUACAAUCUAAGUUAUGACUAUUACCACCCUUUCACCAUUUCUGAAAGCUCAGCUGAUUCUAUAUGAACUUCUACAACAUCACUACCCAGUAGAACUUUGUAUUACGCAAACCAAUUAUUACUAGGCCGCUCUCCCCAUAACUCAAUUCUGCCUAUGGACUCACUUGGAGUGGAGUGGAACAGUUGAUUAAACUGCUUAUAGGAUUUUCUCAGAUGUUCAUAUAUGUAAUUCACACACUCAAAACUCUGAACAAGUAAUACCUUCCUAUGUACAAUUAACUAUAUUUGUAUUUUUGGAUUGGCAGGCAAAUGAAUAAAAGAACAUCUUUUAUUUACCCGUA
rnacentral:lncRNA from 1 species